GCCCCCGUAGCUCAAAGGAUAGAGCGCUUGCCUACCAAGCUCGAGGUCCGGGUUCGACUCCCUGCGGGGGCA
rnacentral:tRNA from 2 species